rnacentral:rRNA from 1 species
GAUGAACGCUAGCUACAGGCUUAACACAUGCAAGUCGAGGGGUAACGAGAGGAAAGCUUGCUUUCCUUGUCGACGACCGGCGCACGGGUGAGUAACGCGUAUCCAACCUGCCCCCAACUAGGGAAUAACCUUGCGAAAAUAAGACUAAUACCCUAUAAUUUCCUCAGAUGUCAUCUGACGAGGAAUAAAGAUUUAUCGGUUGUGGAUGGGGAUGCGUCUGAUCAGCUUGUUGGCGGGGUAACGGCCCACCAAGGCAACGAUCAGUAGGGGUUCUGAGAGGAAGGGCCCACAGAUUGGAACUGAGACACGGUCCAAACUCCUACGGGAGGCAGCAGUGAGGAAUAUUGGUCAAUGGGCGGAAGCCUGAACCAGCCAAGUAGCGUGCAGGAUGACGGCCCUAUGGGUUGUAAACUGCUUUUAUACAGGAAUAAAGUUAGCCACGUGUGGUUAUUUGUAGGUACUGUAUGAAUAAGGACCGGCUAAUUCCGUGCCAGCCGCCGCGGUAA